UACGGAGGGUGCAAGCGUUGCUCGGAAUUAUUGGGCGUAAAGGGUAGGUAGGUGGUCUCAUUUGUCUGGGGUGAAAGCCUUGAGCUUAACUCAAGAAGUGCCCCCAGAAACGGUGAGACUGGAGUCCUGGAGAGGGUCGUGGAAUUCCCGGUGUAGCGGUGAAAUGCGUAGAUAUCGGAAGGAACAUCAGUGGCGAAAGCGGCUUCCUGGACCAGUACCGACGUUCAGGCACGAAAGCGUGGGGAGCAAACAGG
rnacentral:rRNA from 1 species